CCCAGCUGGAAUACUCUGUGUAAUCCAAGGGAAGAUGAACUUCAAGAAUAAACAGCAUGCCCAGUCAGUAGGCCUUGCAGUCAGAUGUGAUGAAUUCACCGGGAAGGAGAGUCGCUAAGGUGCCAGCAUUGCAUCCCCAGCAUACCUGUCUGCACAAUUACCAUUGCUCCAAAACACUGGAAAACAAGGUGAUUCAUCUUUAACCAGGUAAUCAAUUAACCAAAGCACAGAGACCCUCCUCAGUUUUAGCCCUGUGCAAGCCUUUCAUUAUGGUGAUUUAGACCACACUUCCAUCCUCCCACUUCCUGUUUAGACCCACAGUCUGUAACGGGACUUUACUGUGCAACUCGGCAGGCGUUAAGAGAACUGCAGAAUACCAGCAGCUCAAAAAAAUCUCCACUCAUUUUGCAUUCACUUUGCACCAUGCAAGCCACUGUUUUGAACACAACAGUGAAGUCCAAAAUGCUUUCUCCUGAGUGAGGAGAGAGUGAACUGAUUUGAAGUUGACCCAUUGAUUUCCUGAAACUCUGGAGCUCUGUUACAGUGAUAAUUCUGAUCCUGCAAAUCAUGCAGUACCCAGCCAGACCUCAAUGACCAGCGGUUUGUGCAAAGGCCGCUGAGGGUCAGCGAGGGAGGGCAGCGAGCAGGGAGAGCCCGCCGAGAGCCGCCGCAGCCCACGCCGCUCCUCCACGGGUUUCCGGCUCCCUCCGCCGUGCACCGUGGCUUCGGUAGGCAGAGAUGCGCCCUUCCGUUACCUCCUGCCUGUAGGUUUUCGUGGCGCGUCAGGACGCUCAUGCUCACUGCACUCCCUGCGAGUGUAACGUUCGGUGGCAGCGCUCGUGUUCAGCGCCCGGCCUUUGCUUCCCUGACGCCCGGACCUGGCACAGCCAGAGCUGUGCUGCAGCCUCAGGACGAAGGGGACGGCGACCUGGGGGAGGGACGGCAGCGAAGGGCACACAUGGCGGGGAGCAGUGAGGAGUGGGCUUGGGUGAGAGAGAGACUGGCUUGUGUUCAUUAAUGCUUGAGAUUUAUGUGGAAAAACACACGAAGCAUU